rnacentral:tRNA from 1 species
GACCUGCUAGCUCAGUCGGUUAGAGCGUCUUGCUAAUAACGCGAAGAUUGUAGGUUCGAUCCCUGCGCAGGCCA